AACCUUGGACCUGUGUCCCUGGAAUCUGCAUUCUGAUCAAGUUGGUUCCAGAGUAGCUAUAAUUCUCCUCCUCCUGGAUUGCCAAAGCAUCGCUUCCCAGUUCUGGGAAGUUCACAGCAUUGACAAGUUCUUUUUCUUCUCACAAGCAGGAAGCAGAAGGCCUAAGCCAUCUAUAAUCUUCUUACUUGAGAGUGGGAAAGAGCCAUGGAUGGAAGAGAGAAUGGUGACACGAGCCACAAGCUCAGGUAAGCGAAAAGGAGCAAGGCAGGUGAAAACCAUCAGGAGUAACACAUCGGCUGAUCAGAGAGGAGGUUCACCUUUAGUUUGUUUAUUAACAUCUCAAAUGUGAUAGACAUGAAAUGAAACAUCAGCUGAUGUUAUGACCAUCUAAAGGAAUCUCGCUGUUAACAUCUUUGGAGUAAUUCUUCUCCUGGGUGGUUCUUAUCUCCAAGGGACAGUCUUCAUAUUCCUUUUCAGGUCACUGCCACAGCAUGGCCGCCAACAAGUGGUAUAGGUCCGUGCCCAGGAACCAAAUCCAGGCUGCUGAAGUGGAGCACAGCGAAUUUAACUGCUAGGCCAUGUGGCCAGCCCCAAGUUUUCAAUUUUAAUUAAUUUAAAUAAUAGUGUUUUAUCCAUUCUAUUGUCUGUAACCGAAUUUUAUCAGUUGAUCCAAAAUGUUCUUUAUGGCUUUUCCCCCUUUAGUACAGUGUCAACUCUAGUGGCAGUUACUGCAUUUAAUUAUGGCACUUUAGUCUCCUUUAAUUUGGAACAUUUUGUCACUCUUUCCUGGCCUUUUAGGAAAUUAACAUUUUUGAGGAAUUUAUUCUCCUUUUGAGUAGAAUAUUCUUUAUUUUGGAUUAGUCUGAUGUUUCUUCAUGAUUAGAUUCAAGUUCUGCAUUCCCCGUUGGAAAUGCUCCAUGAGUAAUACUGGGUAUUUUAGGCAUCACUUCCAGAGGCACAGGAUGUCCAUCUGCCCCUUCUUGGUGAUAUUAAUUUUGAUCACCCAGAGUAUUGUCUGAUUUCUCUACAAAAUGGUUACUUUUUUUCUCCCUCUUACAAUUGACAAGCAAUCUGUGGGAAGACACUUUAAGGCCAUGCAAAUACUCUGGUUCUUGUAAAAUUUCCCCCCUAGAUUUGGCAUCCAUUGGUUAUUUUGUCCUGACUCAGUCUUUACUCUGAUGGUGUCAAAAGGCUGAUUUUCCAACUAUGUGGACUCUUUCCACAUUUGCUAUUCAGCUCUAGAGAUUCUACUCUAAGCAAGAGGCAAGAGUCCUUUUUUCUCAUUCAUUCAUUUUCAGUAUGGACUUAUUUGUUCGUUUGUUUUCAAUGGGAUAUAUAUAACUUCUCUAAUUAUUUUGAUAAUCAAAUUGUCUCAAAUUUUGCCAGUGGGAGUCUUUUCAAGCAGGCUUUGAUAUUCCUGUGACAUGCAUAUGGAUUUUGAAUCAUAAUUAAAGAGCCUUUUGCCACACGCAGGUUAUUGAGGAAUUCACUCUUAUUUAGUACUUGUACAAUUUCAUUUUUCCUUAAAUCUACUUGUAUUUUAUUUUUAUGUAUGGUGUAAUGAAUCUAAUUUUAUCUUUCUUUUCCAAACAGCCAUACAUUUCUUCCAACACCAUUUCUUUAAAACACUGUCUUUGCCUCACUGAUUUAAGAUUUCACCUUUAUUUACAUGUGUUGCGUCUAUUUUAGGGGUUUCUUUUCCAAUGGUCUGUCUCUUCAUGCACCAGUACCACACUGUUUUAAUUAUAGAGGCUUUGACAGAUGUUUUAAUGUCUAAGAGGGCUAUUUUCUCAUCAUAUCCCUUUUUAGUGUUGUCUUGGCUAUUCUUACAUGUUUAUUUUUCCAUAUGAAUUUUACUGUCAAAUUUUCUAGCUUCAUAAUAAAGUUCAGUACCUUUAUUGGGGUUGCAUUAAAUUUAUAAAUUUAGGGAGAACUGAUAUCCUGUGGUGUUGAGAUGUCUUAAUCAAAAAGAAGGAAUAUCUUUCCUUUUAUUCAAUGCUACUUUUAUUUUCAUUGGGAGUGUGUCAUGGUUUUCUACAUGUAUGUUUGGAACAUUUCUUAGGUUUAUUCUGAAGCAUUUUAUCUUUUUAUUGUAAUAAUAAG
ensembl:lncRNA